GAUGAACGCUGGCGGCGUGCCUAAUACAUGCAAGUCGAGCGAACGGACGAGAAGCUUGCUUUUCUGAUGUUAGCGGCGGACGGGUGAGUAACACGUGGAUAACCUACCUAUAAGACUGGGAUAACUUCGGGAAACCGGAGCUAAUACCGGAUAAUAUUUUGAACCGCAUGGUUCAAAAGUGAAAGACGGUCUUGCUGUCACUUAUAGAUGGAUCCGCGCUGCGUUAGCUAGUUGGUAAGGUAACGGCUUACCAAGGCAACGAUGCAUAGCCGACCUGAGAGGGUGAUCGGCCACACUGGAACUGAGACACGGUCCAGACUCCUACGGGAGGCAGCAGUAGGGAAUCUUCCGCAAAGGGCGAAAGCCUGACGGAGCAACGCCGCGUGAGUGAUGAAGGUCUUCGGAUCGUAAAACUCUGUUAUUAGGGAAGAACAUAUGUGUAAGUAACUGUGCACAUCUUGACGGUACCUAAUCAGAAAGCCACGGCUAACUACGUG
rnacentral:rRNA from 1 species